CUCCGAAUCAAAUCAAAGACAUAUACUAUGCCUUUCCAGACAUUAUUUAUACUAGAUCAAUAGCCAAAGCUAUUGUGUGAACAUAUACUAUACAGGCCUAGGCUAGGCAACGAUUUUUAACAAACAGGAGAGUGGCAUCGUAGCCUUGAGGAAGGAGAUCGCUUGUGGACGUUGGGUGAUUUUUGUGCCAAGCGCAGCCUCCGCCAGCCACACCCUCACGUGCGUGCAACUGUGCGGGACUCUAUUUCUCACCAGAGCGGUCUGUACGCUUGGCCAUGCGUGCUUGUCUGUCGCGAGCACCCGCAGCAUCAGCAACACAAAGAGGGUCGAUGAGCUGUUAGAUUGGAGAUACAAGGCGCCGCCGGCAACUUCAAGGCCGAUUUGCGGGGGAAACGAGAUCACUUAUAAGAGAGGCGACGGCAGGGCAAAUUCCAGCCGUUCCGACGCCUGUUUGGAAGGAGGAAGAAGAGGGAGGCAGCGGAGAGGGGCUUUGAUGCAGUAGAGCUGAAGGCUAGCUUCUCCACAGGGGAAGUGUGCAACGGAGUCGUCUCAGAUGAUGAGGAGACCAAUCAACAUCUGAGUGUGUUUAUCCCAGAGGAAGCAGUACAGGAGCCCAGUCCAGAACAUACCAUGUCCCAGGAAAACGUCUCAGAUAAAGUCAGGAACCUGCAGGUGGGACUUAAACACACACAUGCACACACACACACACACAUGCACACACAGUCAGAUGUAUGUUCACAGUCUUGGUUGAUGACUCGUAAGUCAACCGUUGCCCCAGGUAACAAUCACUUACACUCUAACAGACACUU
rnacentral:lncRNA from 1 species